rnacentral:tRNA from 1 species
ACACCGUUGGUGAAGUGGUUAUCAUGCUUGCCUUCCAUUUACUGUUGAAGCAAGCGGCUCGGGUUCGAUUCCCGAACGGUGUA